GAUGGACGCUGGCGGCGUGCCUAAUACAUGCAAGUCGAGCGAACGGACGAGAAGCUUGCUUCUCUGAUGUUAGCGGCGGACGGGUGAGUAACACGUGGAUAACCUACCUAUAAGACUGGGAUAACUUCGGGAAACCGGAGCUAAUACCGGAUAAUAUUUUGAACCGCAUGGUUCAAAAGUGAAAGACGGUCUUGCUGUCACUUAUAGAUGGAUCCGCGCUGCAUUAGCUAGUUGGUAAGGUAACGGCUUACCAAGGCAACGAUGCAUAGCCGACCUGAGAGGGUGAUCGGCCACACUGGAACUGAGACACGGUCCAGACUCCUACGGGAGGCAGCAGUAGGGAAUCUUCCGCAAUGGGCGAAAGCCUGACGGAGCAACGCUGCGUGAGUGAUGAAGGUCUUCGGAUCGUAAAACUCUGUUAUUAGGGAAGAACAUAUGUGUAAGUAACUGUGCACAUCUUGACGGUACCUAAUCAGAAAGCCACGGCUAACUACGUG
rnacentral:rRNA from 1 species